GAUCAUGGCUCAGGAUGAACGCUGGCGGCGUGCCUAAUACAUGCAAGUCGAGCGAACAGACGAGGAGCUUGCUCCUUUGACGUUAGCGGCGGACGGGUGAGUAACACGUAGGUAACCUACCUAUAAGACUGGGAUAACUUCGGGAAACCGGAGCUAAUACCGGAUAAUAUUUCGAACCGCAUGGUUCGAUAGUGAAAGAUGGCUUUGCUAUCACUUAUAGAUGGACCUGCGCCGUAUUAG
rnacentral:rRNA from 1 species